UAGGGUAUAACAAAACGAAACUGAUUCCCCCCAAUCCUCCUAAUUCAGAAUGGGCAAACUCUCCUCCGCCGUUGAAAUUCCCGACCAACACCGUCGCACCUCCAGACAAAGCAGCCGCUAUUCGCCCGAACCCGAAAUCCCCGACCAACACCGUCGCACCUCCAGACAAAGCAGCCGCUAUUCGCCCGAACCCGAUCGCUAUUCGCCCGAACCCGAUCGCUACCACCGUCGCCGCCGCAGCCCCUCAAACGGACACCCAACAAGGUACGAACACAAUCCCUCUCACCAUCACCACACCCGUAGGUCUUCGCCAGAUUAUUCAUCAUACUCUAGGAAAAGUCCCCCUAGAUUCCAAACCCUAAAAUCGGAUAAAAUACUUGGAUACGAUGAGCGGAAUAAUAAUAAUCAUGCGGCACCGUUUCUCGAUCGAGAUCGAAGGAACGGGCGGGGGUUAGAGGCGGAAGAGUCGGACGAGGAGCUGAAAGGUUUGAGCUUCGAGGAUUAUAGAAGGCUUAAGCGUCAGAAACUUAGGAAGACUUUUCCGGUGAAGAGUUAUGUUUGGGAGGUUACGCCUAGUCCUGAUAGAGGUGAGGACGAAUUGUAUGAACAGGAACCGGAGGAGAUUGCAGAGAAGUAUGAGAGGGAGAAGGAAACUAGUGAUUUUAGUGAGAAGGAAAAAAAUGGAGGGAGAAAAUCUAAAGUGGAAGUGGGAUCAGAGUCUGAGUCAGAAUCGGACGGUUCAGGAUCUGAAUCAGAUGAUUCACCGGUGAGGAGGAAGAGAAAGAGUAGGAGUUCGAAGUCUAGUCGGAAAAGUAGGAAAUUUGAAUCAGAGGGUGAUAGUGAAUUGGACGGUUUGGGAUCUGAAUCAGAUGAUUCGGCGGUGAGGAGGAAGAGUAGGAGUUCGAAGUCUGGGUGGAAAAGUGGGAAACUUGAAUCAGAGGGUGUUACUGAAUCGGAUGAAUCUAGUGAUGAAUCAGAAGAAGAUAGGAGACGGAGGAAGAAGAAGUCGGGGAGUAGUCGAAGCAGGCGAAAGGAGAGGAGUGGUAGUAGUAAGAGGAAAAGGAGUAGUAGAAGGAAGAGUAGAGAUAGUGAUGAAAGUGAGAGUGACGGUAGUGAAAGUGAGGAAUUGAAGAAAGAGAAAGGAGUUUCGAUAACAAAGGGAAAGAGAAAGAGAGAAUCGGAUGUUGGGAGUUCUGAUUCAGAUGAAGUUGAUGCAAAGAUUAAAUUUAAGGAAGAGGAUUUGAAGACAGCUGAGGUCGCUAGUGAAGCGCUUUUGUUGAAAGAGAUGAUGGAAUUGCGAAAGAAACCCGCUUUGGAGGAUGAAGCAGUGGUUGGACCAAUGCCAUUGCCUAGAGCCGAAGGGCAUAUUAGCUACGGAGGAGCACUCAGGCCUGGUGAAGGUGAUGCCAUUGCUCAGUAUGUUCAACAAGGGAAACGUAUCCCGCGUAGAGGUGAAGUCGGUCUUUCGGCUGAUGAGAUUCAGAAGUUUGAGACUCUUGGGUAUGUGAUGAGCGGUAGUAGGCAUCAAAGGAUGAAUGCGAUUCGUAUCAGGAAAGAAAACCAGGUUUAUAGUGCUGAGGACAAGCGGGCAUUGGCAAUGUUUAACUACGAGGAGAAAGCAAAGAGGGAACAAAAAGUCAUGGCUGAUCUGCAGCGGCUUGUGCAACGCCAUAUUGGACAGGAUACUGGCCCUUCCCAUGAUCCAUUUGGUGGAACCGAGGGUGCUGAUGCUUAAUCGCCAUGACUUGGGAGUGGAACAGGUCUAUAUGCUUUAUAAGCUGCAGCCCCCAUCUCCUUCUUGAGUAUGUCAGUUGGAAGCAAAAUUAUGAUAUGCAUAUUACCAUUGGGAGCAGGUGCAUGGUUUUUGUGAUCCAGGGGUUCAAGCUCUAGUUUCAGCGCUGUGGAGAGAAGGAACGUAUCUGUUCCAGAAUCACAUGGGGUUUUGUCGAAUCACAAUCGCUAGCUGAAGCCAGCCUAUACAAGUUCUAUUGAGGGUUAUGUAGAUCAUCGGGCAGAGAGAAUUCAUUGUUCCGUGCAAAAUCUGGUGUCUUUCGAGUGAUUACCUUUUCUGAGCACCAUCACGUUCAGAUGCUUCAUUUAUGACCCCCUGCUGUUAACAGAAUCAAAUUGUAUUUGUGAUGACAAUCCCUUGUGUUUUUCUUGCUGGAUGAUAAUCAUCCCUAGUUUGCUUUUCUUUCAAACAUCCUUUAUCUGUCUGAAUUUUAUGUACGACUCAAAGCUAUUUUUCCAUAAUUUUGUCUUGGGGGAUGCA